CACUAGCUAGAGCAAUCAGACAAGAGAAAGAAAGAAAGGGCAUCAAAUUGGUAAGAAGCAGCCACUAGCUAGAGCAAUCAGACAAGAGAAAGAAAGAAAGGGCAUCAAAUUGGAAAGAAGCAGCCACUAGCUAGAGCAAUCAGACAAGAGAAAGAAAGAAAGGGCAUCAAAUUGGUAAGAAGCAGCCACUAGCUAGAGCAAUCAGACAAGAGAAAGAAAGAAAGGGCAUCAAAUUGGAAAGAAGCAGCCACUAGCUAGAGCAAUCAGACAAGAGAAAGAAAGAAAGGGCAUCAAAUUGGUAAGAAGCAGCCACUAGCUAGAGCAAUCAGACAAGAGAAAGAAAGAAAGGGCAUCAAAUUGGAAAGAAGCAGCCACUAGCUAGAGCAAUCAGACAAGAGAAAGAAAGAAAGGGCAUCAAAUUGGAAAGAAGCAGCCACUAGCUAGAGCAAUCAGACAAGAGAAAGAAAGAAAGGGCAUCAAAUUGGAAAGAAGCAGCCACUAGCUAGAGCAAUCAGACAAGAGAAAGAAAGAAAGGGCAUCAAAUUGGUAAGAAGCAGCCACUAGCUAGAGCAAUCAGACAAGAGAAAGAAAGAAAGGGCAUCAAAUUGGAAAGAAGCAGCCACUAGCUAGGGCAAUCAGAUAAGAGAAAGAAAGAAAGGGCAUCAAAUUGGUAAGAAGCAGCCACUAGCUAGAGCAAUCAGACAAGAGAAAGAAAGAAAGGGCAUCAAAUUGGAAAGAAGCAGCCACUAGCUAGAGCAAUCAGACAAGAGAAAGAAAGAAAGGGCAUCAAAUUGGUAAGAAGCAGCCACUAGCUAGAGCAAUCAGACAAGAGAAAGAAAGAAAGGGCAUCAAAUUGGAAAGAAGCAGCCACUAGCUAGAGCAAUCAGACAAGAGAAAGAAAGAAAGGGCAUCAAAUUGGUAAGAAGCAGCCACUAGCUAGAGCAAUCAGACAAGAGAAAGAAAGAAAGGGCAUCAAAUUGGAAAGAAGCAGCCACUAGCUAGAGCAAUCAGACAAGAGAAAGAAAGAAAGGGCAUCAAAUUGGAAAGAAGCAGCCACUAGCUAGAGCAAUCAGACAAGAGAAAGAAAGAAAGGGCAUCAAAUUGGAAAGAAGCAGCCACUAGCUAGAGCAAUCAGACAAGAGAAAGAAAGAAAGGGCAUCAAAUUGGUAAGAAGCAGCCACUAGCUAGAGCAAUCAGACAAGAGAAAGAAAGAAAGGGCAUCAAAUUGGAAAGAAGCAGCCACUAGCUAGAGCAAUCAGAUAAGAGAAAGAAAGAAAGGGCAUCAAAUUGGAAAGAAGCAGCCACUAGCUAGAGCAAUCAGACAAGAGAAAGAAAGAAAGGGCAUCAAAUUGGAAAGAAGCAGCCACUAGCUAGAGCAAUCAGACAAGAGAAAGAAAGAAAGGGCAUCAAAUUGGAAAGAAGCAGCCAAAUCACCCUUGUUUGCAGAUGAUUUUAUAUUUGGAGACACCCAAGGAUGCCAACAAAAACUGUUAGAACUGAUAAAUUCAGUAACGUUUUAGGAUCCAAAAUCAAUGUACAAAAAUCAGUAGCAUUUUUCUGUGCCAACAGUGAACAAUCUGAAAUGGAAAUCAGGAAAGUAAUCCCACUUACAGUAGCCACAGAUAAAAUAAGACACCUAGGAAUUAACCAAAUAAGUGAACGAUUUCUACAGUAAAAACCGUAAAACACCGUAAGCAAUUGAAGAGGAGACAAAAAUUGAAGUAUGUUCCAUGUUCACAGCUCGGAAGAGUCAAUAUAGUUAAAAUGUCCAUACUACCCAAAGCAAUCUGCAGAUUCAAUGCAAUCCCUACCAAAAUUCCAGUGACGUUCUUCACUGAAAUAGAAAAAAAAAAUCCAAAAUUUAUAUGGAAGCACAAAAGACUCUAGAUCCACACGUAUUCUAAGAACAAACUGGAGGAAUCACAUGACCUGACUUCAGAAUAUACUAAAGUAACCAAAACAGCAUGGUAGUGGCAUAAAAACAGACACACAAACCAAGCAGAAUAAAGAAUCCGGAAUUGAAUCCAUACUUCUGCAGCGAGCUCAUUUUUGACAAAUGUGCUGAAAAUGUUCAUUGAAGAAAGGGCGAUCUUUUCCAUAAAGGGUGCUUGGGAAACUAGACAUCCAUAUAGAGAAGAAUGAAACCAAACCCCUAUCUCUCUCCGUAUAUGGAAACAAAAUCAAAAUGGAUUAAAAACUUAAAUCUAAGACCUCGAACUGUGAAACUCCUACAAGAAAACUCUCUAGGAUACUGGACUGGGCAAAGAUUGCUUGAGUAAUACCCCAAAAACACAUGAAACCAAAGCAGGAAUAGACAAAUGGGAUCACAUCAAGUUACACAGCUUCUUCCCCAGAGCAAAGGAAACAAGCAGUGACGAGAGGAAACAGCCUACAGAGUGGAUUUUCAAACCACCCAUCUGACGAGGAAUAACCAGAAUAUGUAAGGAGCUUAAACAACUUCAUAGGAAAAAAAUCAAUAACCCAAUUAAAAAAUGGGCAAGAGAUCUGAAUAGACAUUUCUCGAAAGAAGACAUAUAAAUGGCAAACGGGUGUAUGAAAAGGUGCUCAGUAUCAGUGAUCCUCAGAGAAAUACACAUCAAAACUACGAUGAAAUAUAUCCAAAAGUCAGGCAGGAACAAACUCUGGCGGGGAUGUGGAGAAAAGGAAAUCCGUGUACACUGUUGGUGACGAUGUAAAUCAGCACAGUCAUUACGGAGAUCAAUAUGGAAGUCCCUCUAAAAACGAAAAGUAGUGCUACCAUGCGGUCCAACAGUCCUCUUCCUACUCAGUAUAUCAAAGAGGCGUCUGCACUCCCAUGUCUACUGCACUAUUCACAAUAGCCAAGACUUGGAAGCAACCUAAGUGUCCAUCAACAAACAAAUGGAUUUAAAAACGUGGUACAUACAUACCACGGAGUAGUAUCCAGCCACAAAAAGAACGAGAUCCAGUCAUUUGCAACAACGUGGAUGGAACCAGAGGUCAUUUUGCUAAGUGAAAUAAGCCAGGCACGGAAAGACAAACUUCGCAUGUUCUCACUUGCUUGUGGGAGCUAAAAAUUAAAACAAUUGAACUCACAGACAUAGAGAAUAGAAGGAUGGUGACCAGGGGCUGGGAAGGGUAGUGGCAGGUUGGGGUGGAAUGCAGGGAUGGCUAAUGUGCACACAGAGUAGUUGGGAAGGGUAAGUAAGACCCACUAUUUGAUAGCACAAUGGGGUGGCUGUAGUCAGAUUUGAUUCUAUGUUUUUAAAUAACUCAGAGUAUAACUGGACUAUUUGUAACACAAAGGAUAAAUGUUUGAGGUGAUGGAUACCCCAUUUACCCUCAUGUACUCCCUACAUAGAUAUACUUACUUUUUACCCAAAAAAAAUUUAAAAGUUCAAACUUAAAUAUAUGAGUAAUGUAAUAAAUGGGAUAUUCUGACCAUCUGCAUCAGUUAAGCCUCCUUUUUUUUGAAACACAGUCUCACACUGUCACCCAGGCUAUAGUGUAGUGGAGUAAUAUCAGCUCACUGCAAUAUCUGCCUCCUGGGUUCGAGCAAUUCUCCCACUUCAGCCUCCAGACUGGCUGGGACUACAGGCGUGCACCACCAUGCCCAGCUUUUUAAAAAUAUUUUUAGCAGAGACAGGGUUUUACCAGCUUGGCCAGGAUGGUCUCCUUCUCCUGACCUCGUGAUCCACCUGCCUCGGCUUCCCAAAGUGCUGAGAUUACAGGUGUGAGCUGCCGCACCCCGCCAGUUAAGCCUCUUAAUUAUAAACAGGAGAAACCUGCUCUUGAUGGCUUGAGGAGAAAGAGGAUUUAUUAAGGAAAAAAUAAUUAUAUUACACACUCUCCCUAAAGACAGAGAACCAGGCUUGGAAGCCAGGGAGGGAGCAACAUGCCCAAAUCAUACGAGCAGCCCACUCCUGGAGAGCCUGUGCUCCGGCUGCAAAAGAGGCUUGGGAAAAAGUUUCUGGUUCCUACUUUGGGGAGGUAGAAAAUUCCCAAACAAAAGAAGGGUGUUUAAAGGUGCUGCAUAGACAAGAAGAAUAUUGACUGUCCACUGCAGUCCACCCCUUGGCUGUUUAACGCCUAACUGCACUCUUCUUCCUCACUUCAACCCAUUUCCAUUCAGCACAACGCAGCGAUCCAGCACACAGACCAAAUAAAAUGCAGGAUAUUCUCCAAAGGGAGGCUGCGGAUCCAUAGAAGAAGGAGGUUCAGACUUCGUCUCGUCUUGAUGUGCUGGAACCUGUGGAGCACUGGCGUGGUAAGAUGGAAUAAGUGCUCCUCACCCAUCCUUUCUGUUGGUCAAGUUUACAGCAGCUGUUUGAGGACAGUGAAAACAGGAAGGCAUAUCGGUGAGGAACACAGAAUUCGAAGCACAUCAAAGCAGUCAGGACCUGGGCAAAGCCACACCUGCAGCGUCAGCAGUGACAGGACUGGCCGGAGCCCAGACUCAGGGCGGUAAACAUACUCUUUGUUCAGAAGAACUGUGACCACAUAGCGGGUUGGGCUUGAACUUCGUGACUCAAGCAAUCCUCCCACCUCAGUCUCCUGAGUAGCUGGGACCUUAGGCAUGGGCCAUUGUGCCCAGUUCAGAGAAGCCUUUUCAGAGGGGAUGGUCAGGAGCUCCUCUUUGAGCAGUUUCAGGACUAGCAAUAAUUCGAAGGAGCUGGAAAAAAAUAUUCACAGUCCCCGGAAAUCUAGCGACGCGAUGAGGAUUCUUUCCUUUGGCUCUUCAAACCGAAGUCAACAGAAAAAGGUGGGGGUGGGGGGGCGUGUUUUUUGUGGUUCUAUCUUAAAAGAAAGAAUAAACACACACUUUCUUCCAUCCUCCUUUCCUUUUACCUGGUUUGGCUGAGCCUGAGAGCAAAGGUUCCAUUUGGGUUCAUUCCUUUCUUUGUGGGGCAGACGUCCUACAGCCUAGUUUUGGUGACGCAAUCUUGGAAGAGUGAAUCCUGUCCACCCACUGGCUGCUGGCCAUGGGAAUGUUAGCA